AUGUGUUAUCAUAACACAAACAGAUAAAGACUAUACUGAGCUUGAAGACAGCUUCAUAAGAAAUUUCUUACCCAGAAUCAAAGAUUUACCAUCCUAGGCCUGUAUGUGAACCUUGACCUGGACAAUCUUACAGACAAUAAUAGAAAAGUCACCUGAAAUUGCACAGGCAAAUUCAUCAGAUUCAGAUGUGAGCACCAACUUUGUAAUGCCUGGAACACUUCCACGUAGAAGAAAAAAGCCUGCCCUGCCAUCUUCAGGUAGACGCAGUAGUGGAUAUCCUGGCAAACCUUUAUUGGACUUAGAGCCACCUUGGGGCAAUCCCUCAUAACAAAUAUGCAUAUUAGGCUUGGCAAUCUCAAUCAGUUUUGUAGGAAAGGAGGAUUGGCGCCAUUGAAUUGACAAAUAUUGACAACUGACAGUUUAGUCACACUAAACUAUAGUGGCAUGUUGCUUCAAGUUACCACACUUAUUCUAAGAUUGCUGAAUUAUCAUUACUGUAGUAGACCCUGGAUCUCUCAACCAGAAGAAGAAACUUGGGUAUCAAUCAGUUAUAAGAUUAAAAUCUGUGGAACACUACCCAUCACUGUUGUCUUCAGUAUAUGGAAAAGAUGGCCGUUAUAUUGGAACCUUGGAGAUUCAUAACUUGAUUUCACUCCUGUAAAAAGUAACUGCUUUGUUCUUUUACUGUCCAAUUGAUGAUAUGAAAAUAAAGUACUCCUCCUGUCAUUGUA